rnacentral:rRNA from 1 species
UGGGGAAUUUUGGACAAUGGGGGCAACCCUGAUCCAGCCAUGCCGCGUGCGGGAAGAAGGCCUUCGGGUUGUAAACCGCUUUAGUCUAGGAAAAAGGGAUGCAGGGUUAAUACCCCUGUGUUUUGAUGGUACUGGAAGAAUAAGCACCGGCUAACUACGUGCCAGCAGCCGCGGUAAUACGUAGGGUGCGAGCGUUAAUCGGAAUUACUGGGCGUAAAGCGUGCGCAGGCGGUCCGUUAAGACAGUCGUGAAAGCCCCGGGCUUAACCUGGGAACUGCGAUUGUGACUGGCGGGCUAGAGUGUGUCAGAGGGGGGUGGAAUUCCACGUGUAGCAGUGAAAUGCGUAGAGAUGUGGAGGAACACCGAUGGCGAAGGCAGCCCCCUGGGAUAACACUGACGC